AAUGAAGAGGUUGCAUCCCUUAUUAUUAGUCACUGUGAGGCGGAUAAGCGCUGGACCAGUGGUGAAAGGAAGGAAUGCCGAAACGGCCGGUUGCUUAUCACACCGGUCGUUGGGUCAUGACUUAAGAGGUCAUGGACUGUCGCUGUAUUGCGGGGCGCUUCCU
rnacentral:ncRNA from 1 species